ensembl:misc_RNA Y_RNA Y RNA
GGCUGGUCCGAUGGCAGUGGGUUAACAUGAGUGUCACUAAAGUUGGUAUACCACCCCCCCCACUGCUAAAUUUGACUGGCUUUAA